UACGUAGGGGGCGAGCGUUUGUCCGGAAUCAUUGGGCGUAAAGAGCGUGUAGGCGGCUUGGCAAGUCUGACGUGAAAGCCCGCGGCUCAACCGCGGAUUGUCGUUGGAAACUGCCCCGCUAGAGUCCGGAAGAGGAGAGCGGAAUUCCUGGUGUAGCGGUGGAAUGCGCAGAUAUCAGGAAGAACACCCGUGGCGAAAGCGGCGCACUGGACCACAUCUGACGCUGAGGCGCGAAAGCCUAGGGGAGCAAACAGG
rnacentral:rRNA from 1 species